rnacentral:lncRNA from 1 species
CCCCGGAUACAGUAAGAAUUAUGAGCGGACAGGCACUGCUGUAGCCCUACCAUAAAUCGAGAAGGACGGUUUUAGUGUCUGCUCUUCUGCCUUUCUUUGUCUUUCGCUGGACCCCUCCCUGCCCAUCAACAUUCUCUCCAGAAACAUAGUUUCCCACAAGACUAAGGGAACAGACGGAAGAAUCUGCGGCAGGUAGAAUGAGCUGAAACUGCACCUGGCAGCCUUGGGAGCUGGUAAUUCUCCGGCUCUGCGUGUGUGUAGUCGGAGCCUUUUGGCCUUUCGUCACCCUCAAGCUCAUAAAACCCCGAGGAAGCUAUGACUUCGUCACUUUACGACCUCGCUUCAUUUCCUGUUCUGAGGACAUUGCUCUGUGCGAAUGACCUCAGAACUGCCUAGAAGCCGAGAGCUGUGUCGUCUGGCUUGCCGCCUGGUUUAUGCCUCCUACUUUGCAUCCACCCAAGGUGUAAUCUACCAGAGUAGAACCAGAGGGAAGCUCUGGCACUGGCUCACAGGAGGCCUUGGUCCUGAUGUCUUGCUGUGCUGAGCUUCUUCUCAAGGACUGAUGUGACCUGUCCAGCCCUGCAGCUCUACUGGUAGUUUCAGAAAAUGCACUUCUUCAAAACAUUUCUAUUUCCCGAACAUCCAUCAAGUGACAGGCUGUGGAGCUCAGGCUGUGCCCCAAGAAGCUCCAUUCGCAAGCAACUCUUGACUCCAUUAUGAAGCUAGAGGACGACUGUAUGUCUUGAUGGAUGUGUAAAUAGUAAUUCUACCCAGUACCACCCAUGAACCACAAAGCACAGGCUUAUAAAUGACUUAUUUCUAAGAGUAGACAUGGUGACAUCCUAUAAAUUCAUCAGGGUAAAUUGAAACUGUACAGUCAUAUGGACAUGAUCAAGUCACACCAAGAAAAACAGUCCCAAGAACUUGUGGAACACAGGAGACCGAGGAAUGGGGUAAACCUCACAUGGGUCCCUUAAAGAAGCGAACAUCUAGCAUUGUGAUGGCAAUGGCUCCCACUGACCUGUCACCUUGUCAGUGGGGACGGAGACACAGCUCCAUACUGACUCUUUCAGCAGCCUGACCACAACUCGGGCCCAACUGAAGUCUGUGGAUUCAACACUGAAAAGAAUUUUGAGCCUAGCCAGUUUGCAAAGACGAGGUGGAGAUAGAGUAAUAUAUUUUUAGUACAGGAUUCAAAGAAAUAGAGGCCAGCCUGUGAGAUGGGUCAUCAGGUUAAGCACCUGUCACCAACCCUGACAACCUGAGUUUGGUCCCUGGGACUCACAUGGUAGAGGAGAGAAUGAUUCCACAAGUUGUCCUCUGACCUCCACAUGCACACAGUAGCACACAAGAGCCCCCUUCCCACACUAAAUAAACAAACAAAUUUUAAUCAA